GAUGUAGAGAGAAUAGUCAUUUUAAUACACAGUGCUGGAACCAUGUGAAUGAGAGACUUGACCCACUCCUUAUUAUUUAUACAAAUACUAAUCUUAAAGGGGUAUUAGAAUAAAAUAAAAACGUAACACUAAAAUAGUUCUUCAAGAAAACAUAAGUUUUGUGACGUUGGGCUAGGCAAAAGAUUUCCCUGUAGAUGGCAGGGAAAGAACUUAUACCACGAAUGAAUUAGAUAAGUUGGACUUCAGCAAAAUUGAAAACUUCUACUACUUGAAUGGCAAAAAGUAAAUGAAAAAAUAAGCUACAUACUGAGAUAAAAUAUUUUCUACCAAUAACAAGGAGGAAAAUUAAACAAGACUAAAAAUGACACAGAAGAUAGAAUUAGUGGAUGAGGACAUUUAAACAGCUGUCAUAACUGAGUAAAGCAGAAACAUGUUAAGUAGAGACAUGAAAGAUAAAGAUUGUAAUUUAACUUGUAGAGAGUAAAAAGCUACCAUGUCUGAGAUUAAGAAUACCACUAGAGGGGAUUGACAGGAGAUUGGAUAUUUCAGAAGAGAUUAGUGAAGACAUAGAAAUGAUCCACCAUAACACCCAGAAAACAUUGGAAUCAAUGUAAGCUAGAAGACAAUGGAGAAACACCUAUAAAGUAUCAAAAGAAAAAAGUUCAAUUAAAAUUUUAUACACAGCAAAAAUAUCUUUUAAAAGCAAAGGUGAGCCACCACACCCAGCCACCUCUAUAGUUUUUAGUAAUGAAUACUUAGGUGGUAAACUUAUUAGAAGAACCAGGGAACUAGUUAACCUAAAAAUCAAAGCAUUAGCUGGGUGUGCUGGCGUGUACCUAUAGUCGUAGCUACUCAGAAAGCUGAGGCAAGAUUGUUUGAGCUCAGGAGUUGGAGGCUAUAGUGCACUAUGAUUGCACCUGUGAAUUGCUGCUGGACUCCAUCCUGGGCAGCAUAGCAAAACACCAUCUCUUAAAAACAAAACAAAAAAAUCAAGGCAUUGGUUUUCUUCAGGAGGAAGGUUGGCACUGGU
rnacentral:lncRNA from 10 species